rnacentral:rRNA from 1 species
UGGGGAAUUUUGCACAAUGGGGGAAACCCUGAUGCAGCGACGCCGCGUGAUUUAGAAGGCCUUCGGGUUGUAAAAAUCUUUUCUAUGGGAAGAAAAUGACAGUACCAUAGGAAUAAGGACCGGCUAAUUACGUGCCAGCAGCCGCGGUAAUACGUAAGGUCCGAGCGUUGUCCGGAAUCAUUGGGCGUAAAGGGUACGUAGGCGGGUAAGCAAGUUAGAAGUGAAAUCCUAUAGCUCAACUAUAGUAAGCUUUUAAAACUGCUCAUCUUGAGGUAUGGAAGGGAAAGUGGAAUUCCUAGUGUAGCGGUGAAAUGCGAAGAUAUUAGGAGGAAGACCGGUGGCGAAGGCGACUUUCUGGCCAUAAACUGACGCUGAGGUACGAAAGCGUGGGUAGCAAACAGG